CUAAAUAAAAUACACCCUUUUCCGGUACUACUUACUACGGGUGCGGCAUACUUUUGCACAUAUACGCAUUAUACUUGAUUUUGCUGUUUGUCUGUGGUGAAGUGAAGUGCCAUAGUUUCUUUGUUGGUAAACAAAGCCGUAUUAAAAUAUUAAUAAAAAAAUUGGUUUCGUUGGAUCAAAGUACUUGCUACUGCUAGUUUUUUGUUUUCAAUAGAAGUAAUUAAUUAAUCAUUUUAUCGUAUACAUUUUUAUUAGUGUUAAUAGUUAAUUUAUCAAAGUAAACGGCCACUUUUACAUAAAACAUUAUCUACACGAAAGUUCUUCAAAGUUUUAUCGUCUGCCUAUGAUUAAUUUAAUGGUCGUUGUGAUAAUAUGUAAAGUAUAUUGUAUAGUGUUUUGUUUAUUAAAGUUCAUCGCUUGCAACUAAAGAUGUCCGGGAAACUCAAUGAUCGCCUUGGCUUGGAUCAAACUUGGCGAUGGGUUGUUUUGGAGGGCCUUUGGAAAGUCAGGCUACUAAAUAAACCUUCCGUGUUCGCGUCUGCCAGUGGCGUUGUAUCAACAUGAAGAUGUGGGCUCUAAACUUUGAGUGCCAGGGACUGCCUAUGGAAGUCUCCAUGUCGCUGGUCACCAUUGAGGUGCAAAACACCUUGAAAAAAUUGGUGAUUCUGAAUCCUUCAUCUCUAUGAACGAUUCAUGAAGAAAGAAUUAAACAAACAUUUAAUGAACAGAUUUUUUAUAAGAUUAUUAUCAAUAAUGACAUUGCAUAUGAGAGAAAAUUGUCAAAUAUAAUUUCAUUUUAAUUUAAUAUAGUUAAUUAUGACAUCACUGUAUAUAAAGAAUAUGAUUAUUAUCAUUUGGUUAAUUUCAGUACUACAUAGUAUUAGAUAAAAAUUUUAUUGUAAAAUUGCACAUCAAAAUAUGUUUUAUUAUCUAUUAUUAGGAGGAAAUAUUAUUUAACUAUUAUUAUUAUCCCUAAUAGCCCAGUGAAUGUGACCUCUGCCUCCAAUUCCGGAGGGUGUGGGUUCGAACCCGUUCCGGGGCACGCACCUCCAACUUUUCAGUUGUGUGCAUUUUAAGAAACUAAAUAUCACGUGUCUCAAACAGUGAAGGAAAACAUCGUGAGGAAACCUGCAUACCAGAGAAUUCUCUUAAUUCUCUGCAUAUCACAUAUGCAGAGAAUGCCAAUGUAAUCCAAAUAUGCUGGCCCAUAUUCGGCUCCUGUCAGAAUGAGAGGGGUUAGGCAUUGGCCUUCCCUUACCUUAUCAGCCGAUAGACGUCCACUGCUGGACAUAGGCCUCUUACAUGGACCUCCAAGCACAACGACCUUGAGCCGCGAACAUCCAACCAACCGACCAACCACGCUUUCCAGUGCGAGGUCUCCCGAGUGCGGGUAGGCACUAACCCCUCUUACUGAGGGAGACUCGAGCUCAGCAGUGAGCCGAAUAUGUGUUUAUAAUGAUGAUGAUGAUGAUGAUGAUGAUGAUGAUGAUUAUUUAAGUAAUUGUAAAAGAAAAAAUUGAAUACUACAUUAGUUGUUUAUCUAUACAAUUCAAUAAUUUUAAGAACAAAACAUGUACCUACCACAUUGUAGGAAAUAAAUAAAUAAUGAUUUGAUUAAAAACAAUGUUGUUUAAUGUUAAGCAGGUAGAGCCAGGUAGUUCUAUAUUUGUGUAACAUCUAUUACUUAAAAAUAAAAAAUAUAUUUACUUGU